UACGAAGGGGGCAAGCGUUGUUCGGAAUUACUGGGCGUAAAGGGCGCGCAGGCGGCCAAUCAAGUCAGAUGUGAAAGCCCCGGGCUCAACCGGGGAACGGGCACCGAUACGGGCGCCUCGAGGGGGGUAGGGGGACCUGGAACUUCCGGUGGAGCGGUGAAAUGCGUUGAGAUCGGAAGGAACGCCCGUGGCGAAAGCGAGGUCCUGGACCCUUUCUGACGCUGAGACGCGAAAGCCAGGGGAGCGAACGGG
rnacentral:rRNA from 1 species